UGGCAAUUCGCUUCACGGUCCUAUUCCGGCUUCUCUGUACCGAUGCUCUCUUCUAAAUACCUUGAUUCUCUCUGGCAACCUAUUGUCCGGCGUCCCGGAUUUCUAUUCCGGUAUUUGGUCGCUGUCUCGGCUUCGAAAUCUCGACCUUUCGCACAAUUCGUUCACUGGGUCAGUGUCAAAAGGAGCGUUCAGGCUACCUUACUUGAAAGAGCUAAGAUUACAUGGCAACGGUUUCGCAGGGGAAAUACCUUGGGAUAUUGGCCUCUGCUCUCACCUGAAUUUGUUGGAUUUGAGCCACAAUGGUUUCACCGGUCCCAUUCCUCCUUAUCUCCAGAGGCUCACUUCUCUUUCCCACCUCAGCUUGUCCAACAACCAGCUAAUUGGGGAUCUACCUCCCUGGUUUAGCAAGCUCAGCAAUUUG
rnacentral:lncRNA from 1 species